rnacentral:rRNA from 1 species
CAGUUGAAGACAAAGUGGCGAACGGGUGCGUAACGCGUGGGAAUCUGCCAAACAGUUUGGGCCGAAUCCCAAAGAAACGAAAGCAAAAAAGCUUCGAUAAAGCUAAAAAGCGCUGUUUGAUGAGCCUGCGUAGUAUUAGGUAGCUGGUUGGGUAAAGGCUGACCAAGCCGCAGAUGCUUAGCUGAUCUUUUCGGACGAUCAGCCACACUGGGACUGAGACACGGCCCAGACUCCGUAGGGAGGCAGCAGUGGGGAAUAUUGGACAAUGGGCGAAAGCCCGACCCAGCAAUAUCGCGUGAGUGAGUG